UAGCAAAGGAAUCUCAUCUGGAGUUGUCGCGGCUAUUACAGUUCCAACUGUUGUUACCGUCUUUACACUGCUUGUUCUAGGAUUUGUUCUUUGUCGGAGGAGAGAGUCUAUGCAAAGAACUGAUGUUGAAUGUUAGUUUCUUGUCUUGUUGUUUCCUUUCAUUAUAACCAUAUUUUGUUCCUUAAGCCAAGAGAAGAAAACAUGAAGCAGAACUAAUAAACCUUUGCUUUGCAGCCGAUAGUGAUAUUUCAACUCCACAUUCAUCGCAAUACGACUUUAAGACAAUUGAAGCUGCAACAAACAAGUUUUCGAGGCAUAAUAAGCUCGGUGAAGG
rnacentral:lncRNA from 1 species